rnacentral:rRNA from 1 species
GGCCUACCAUGGUGGUAACGGGUAACGGGGUGUUAGGGCACGACACCGGAGAGGGAGCCUGAGAAACGGCUACCACAUCCAAGGAUGGCAGCAGGCGCGCAAAUUACCCAAUCCCGACACGGGGAGGUAGUGACAAUAAAUAACAAUACGGGGUUCUUUCGGAUCUCGUAAUUGGAAUGAGUACAAUUUAAAUCUCUUAACGAGGAACAAUUGGAGGGCAAGUCUGGUGCCAGCAGCCGCGGUAAUUCCAGCUCCAAUAGCGUAUAUUAAAGUUGUUGCAGCUAAAAAGCUCGUAGUUGAAUUUCGGGGCCAGUAGGUUGGUCGUGCCACUGGUAUGCACUGGCUUUACUGGUCCCUCCCUCUUGUAGAACCGUGAUGCCAUUAAUUUGGUGUUGCGGGGAAACAGGACUGUUACUUUGAAAAAAUUAGAGUGCUUAAAGCAGGCUCGCGCUUGAAUACAUUAGCAUGGAAUAACGGAAUAGGACGAUCGAACCUAUUUUGUUGGUUUCUAGGAUCGACGUAAUGAUUAAUAGGGAUAGUUGGGGGCAUUAGUAUUCAAUUGUCAGAGGUGAAAUUCUUGGAUUUAUUGAAGACUAACUACUGCGAAAGCAUUUGCCAAGGAUGUUUUCAUUAAUCAAGAACGAAAGUUAGGGGAUCGAAGACGAUCAGAUACCGUCGUAGUCUUAACCAUAAACUAUGCCGACUAGGGAUCGGAUGAAGUUAAUUUUUUAAUGACUCAUUCGGCGCCUUACGGGAAACCAAAGUGUUUGGGUUC